rnacentral:rRNA from 1 species
GGUAGCUUGCUACCUGCCGGCGAGUGGCGAACGGGUGAGUAAUACAUCGGAACGUGCCCUGUAGUGGGGGAUAACUAGUCGAAAGACUAGCUAAUACCGCAUACGACCUGAGGGUGAAAGUGGGGGACCGCAAGGCCUCAUGCUAUAGGAGCGGCCGAUGUCUGAUUAGCUAGUUGGUGGGGUAAAGGCCCACCAAGGCGACGAUCAGUAGCUGGUCUGAGAGGACGAUCAGCCACACUGGGACUGAGACACGGCCCAGACUCCUACGGGAGGCAGCAGUG